CAUGACAAGAACACGCCCCUGUUGUGACAACCACAGAUGUCCCCAGACAUUGUCCAGUGUCCCCUAGGGCAGGAUAACCCGGGCGAGACCUCCCUGGGUUAGGGGAUUCCACGUACCCCCAAGAGACUCUGCGUCCCAUGAUCCUCUGCCCCGCUGAGGUCCCAGAAGGCUGCAUACAUUGAAAUCCACACCCUGAAUUGGAGGGGGAGAAAGUAGGUGAAUCCCAGGAGCUGGGGGUCCCCGGUUUGCACCUCCCGCCUUAGGAAUUUAUUCUGGUGUCCAGCAUGAGCAGGAAAUUCAGUCAGGUGUUUUUUUGUUUUUUUUGUUUUUUGUUUUUUUGAGACUGAGUGUAGCUCUUGUUAUCCAGGCUUCCAGGCUGGAGUGCAGGGUGGCGGCCUCGUCUUCCUCAGCCUCGUAUUCCUUGUCUAUGUACCUGGGUCAGCACAGCCUCCACCUGCACUGGGUCCCUGCUGCAGAGUACUCAGAGCCAGCCACGCAGUAUAAAAAAAUCAGUUUGGGCUGGGCACGGUGGCUCACAACUGUAAUCCCAGCCCUUUGGGAGGCCGAGGCAGGUGGAUCACGAGGUCAGAAGAUUGAGACCAUCUUGGCUAACACAGUGAAACCCAGUUUCUACUAAAAAUACAAAAAAUUAGCCAAGUGUGGUGGCAGGUGCCUGUAGUUCCAGCUACUCGAGAGGCUGAGGCAGGAGAACGGCGUGAACCUGGGAGGCGGAGCUUGCAGUGAGCCGAGAUCGUGCUAUUGCACUCCAGCCUGGGCGACAGAGCAAAACUCCGUCUAAAAAAAAAAAAAGUUCUUCACUUCUUUUGCUCCUUUUAUAUGGCUUGAAAAAAUUACUGAUGUCCUUGAUCAAAAAAAUUAUGUGGAACAACUUAACCGGCACUUGAGGUAAGACUCCUUUUUUUUUCAUUGCUUACANGUUAUCAUACAUCUUGUAUCUCUGAUCAUUGACU
rnacentral:lncRNA from 1 species